rnacentral:misc_RNA from 1 species
GAUUACAUUCGUAAAGGAGAAAGAGAAAGUACCCACCGUGGAUAAAUUGGAUUGAGUCUCUGUUGAUAACAAUGCAAAGGGCUAUUUAUAUCAUUCACUAACUACUUAGUCAUAACACAUUCAAAAAAUUAUCAUUAAUCACUGAACCUCAAGCCUUUUGGUUAAAGAACCUGUCAGUAAAGUGGCUCUCAUUGACAAUGCCCUUACACUUGCUGUUAUUACCAAAAUGUAAAGGGUAGGGGAAAAGAAAUGGGGGGAACGAAUUUUGGUUCACUUUCCCUUACUUUGUCUCUACUUCCCAAAUAGGGAAAAGUUGCAUUCUCUUAUAAUUUCCCUCUUAUUUCUUUUCUCCAUUUUCUCCUCUUCCAACCAUAACGUUAAUAUAUUAACUGUUCACUUCUGCUAGACUCCCUUUCCACAAAGGGGAAUUCUAUGGAUGAAAUGCGGACAAAAAAAAAAGAAAAUCCAGAAGGUAAUAUCCUUGUAAGAAUAAAAGCAUCAUAUUUGUGAUCAGAAAAUUCAAAUCUGCAGAAAGAUACAUGGAACUCAUAUGCAGUAAAAAGAAAUAACAAACCAAUCGGCAAAAUCACUCCAGA